rnacentral:rRNA from 1 species
CAUGGCUGUCGUCUAGUUCGUGUUGUGAAAAUUAUUUUGUAUUUAAUUUACAAAAACGGGGCGCAAUACCUUUAAAUUAUUAUUUUAUUUAAAAUAUAAUUAAAUGUCAAUGAAAUAUUGAAGGAAGGUAAGGAUAACGACAAGUCGUUAUGGCCUUUUAUGAAUUGGGCUACACAUGUGCUACAAUGAUUAUUACAAUGAGAUGCAAAAAUGCAAAUUUAAGCUAAUCUUUAAAAAUAAUCUUAGUUCGGAUUAUUCUUUGUAAUUCAAGAAUAUGAAGUUGGAAUUACUAGUAAUCGUUUAUAAGUACGAAACGGUGAAUUUGGAACCUAAUCUUGUACACACCGCCCGUCACGCCACGGAAGCAGGUUUUAUAUUAAAUAUUUAAAAUGAUUAUUAUAUAAGUUAAAAAUAUAAAAUUUAGAUUAUUUUCUAUUUAAUUUGUAUGAUAAUUUAGAUUAAAAUAUCGGUAUAAGAUGGGCAACUGGGGCGAAGUCGUAACACGGUAGCUGUAGGG